CGCGCGCCCCGUCCUUGCGGGCGCGAAAGCGCCCCGCUCGGGCGAACACCCAACCCCGGCGCGGAAAGCGCCAAGGAAAACUUGAAACGAUUGCCCGACCCCCCAACGCCCCGUGCGCGGAGUGCGCGAGGGGGUGCGGCGGCAUCCGUCGUAACCAAAACGACUCUCGGCAACGGAUAUCUCGGCUCUCGCAUCGAUGAAGAACGUAGCGAAAUGCGAUACUUGGUGUGAAUUGCAGAAUCCCGCGAACCAUCGAGUCUUUGAACGCAAGUUGCGCCCGAAGCCAUUAGGCCGAGGGCACGUCUGCCUGGGCGUCACGCAUCGCGUCGCCGCCCCGCUCGUGCUGGGCGGCGGAUGUUGGCCCCCCGUGCCCGCAGGGUGCGGCCGGCCUAAAAGCGAGUCCUCGGCGAGGGCGUCACGACUAGUGGUGGUUGAAUUGCUCGACUCGAGUGCUCGUCGUGCCGUGCUCCCCCGCCGUGUCGCGGACUGCCUCGA
rnacentral:misc_RNA from 1 species